GACGAACGCUGGCGGCGUGCUUAACACAUGCAAGUCGAACGGAAAGGCCCUGCUUUUGUGGGGUGCUCGAGUGGCGAACGGGUGAGUAACACGUGAGUAACCUGCCCUUGACUUUGGGAUAACUUCAGGAAACUGGGGCUAAUACCGGAUAGGAGCUCCUGCUGCAUGGUGGGGGUUGGAAAGUUUCGGCGGUUGGGGAUGGACUCGCGGCUUAUCAGCUUGUUGGUGGGGUAGUGGCUUACCAAGGCUUUGACGGGUAGCCGGCCUGAGAGGGUGACCGGCCCAUUGGGGCUGGGAAUACGGACCCGAAGACACGGGGGGGGAGCAGGGGAAAGUAGUGCAGAAGGGGCGGAAGCCCGAUGGAGCAACGCGGCGGGGGGGAGGACGGCUGGCAGGUUGAAACCCGCUUUCCGGUGUGGGGAAGGGGGGGGGACGAGAAGGGGAAAAGAAGCACCGGCAAAACACGGGCAAGCAGCGGGGGGAAUGGAGGGAAGGGCACAGGUUGAUG
rnacentral:rRNA from 1 species